rnacentral:rRNA from 1 species
UACGAAGGGGGCGAGCGUUGUUCGGAAUUACUGGGCGUAAAGCGCGCGUAGGCGGUUUGUCAAGUCAGGAGUGAAAUCCCAGGGCUUAACCUUGGAAUUGCUUUUGAAACUGACAGACUAGAGAUCGGUAGGGGAUAGUAGAAUUCUUGGUGUAGAGGUGAAAUUCGUAGAUAUCAAGAGGAAUACCAGUGGCGAAGGCGGCUAUCUGGACCGAUUCUGACGCUGAGGCGCGAAAGCGUGGGGAGCAAACAGG